AAUAAGUGCAGCCGUAGAAAUCCGUGUCCAACGUUUGACCGUUCGUCUUAUUUGAAAAAUUUAUGAGGAAAUUAAAAUAAGUUAGUCACACAUAAAGUAUUAUUCAUGUUUUAUCAUCUAAUAACAAUAAAAAUAUUAAUCGUAAAAAAAUUUCAAAUAAAAUGAACGGUCAAACGUGAGACAUGAACAGUGUAAAACUGUACUUAUU
rfam:Oryza glaberrima chromosome 12 Oglab12_0009_6, whole genome shotgun sequence.